rnacentral:rRNA from 1 species
CCAGUACCGUGAGGGAAAGGUGAAAAGCACCCCGGAAGGGGAGUGAAAGAGAUCCUGAAACCGUGUGCCUACAAAUAGUCAGAGCCCGUUAACGGGUGAUGGCGUGCCUUUUGUAGAAUGAACCGGCGAGUUACGAUCCCGUGCGAGGUUAAGCUGAAGAGGCGGAGCCGCAGCGAAAGCGAGUCUGAAUAGGGCGUUUAGUACGUGGUCGUAGACCCGAAACCAGGUGAUCUACCCAUGUCCAGGGUGAAGUUCAGGUAACACUGAAUGGAGGCCCGAACCCACGCACGUUGAAAAGUGCGGGGAUGAGGUGUGGGUAGCGGAGAAAUUCCAAUCGAACCUGGAGAUAGCUGGUUCUCCCC